rnacentral:lncRNA from 1 species
UCGUCAAAAUUUUCGCUGCGCGCUUCGCGCGCAGCAAUUUUCGAACCCUCUAUUUUGAGUUCCUGGCUACGGCCCUGUUUAAGUUAUUUCAUCACAGUUGUACAUAUAAUAUCUAUGUUUUAACACUAUAAAAUUAGGAUUAUAUAUGAUAUAAGUGAAGUUGAAUCCAUUGUAGCCUUGUCAUGUCAGAAGCCACUAGAUUUUAAUUGUUAUUAAGCGUCAUAAAUCAAUUUUUAAAUUUUGAUUCUAUUGAAAAAUAUUUUACUGUGACAAAACAAGCAAGUGCUGGUAUGAAUCAAAAUUUUAUUUGAAUUAAUGUUUUGUUGUUCAAAUUGAAUAGUGUGCUGUCAAUGUAUUUGAAAAAAA